rnacentral:rRNA from 1 species
GAGUUUGAUCCUGGCUCAGAUUGAACGCUGGCGGCAUGCUUUACACAUGCAAGUCGAACGGUAACGCGGGGGGUAACCCCUGGCGACGAGUGGCGAACGGGUGAGUAAUACAUCGGAACAUGUCCUGGAGUGGGGGAUAGCUCGGCGAAAGCCGGAUUAAUACCGCAUACGCUCUGAGGAGGAAAGCGGGGGACUCGUAAGGGCCUCGCGCUGCGGGAGUGGCCGAUGUCGGAUUAGCUAGUUGGUGAGGUAAAGGCUCACCAAGGCGACGAUCCGUAGCUGGUCUGAGAGGAUGAUCAGCCACACUGGGACUGAGACACGGCCCAGACUCCUACGGGAGGCAGCAGUGGGGAAUUUUGGACAAUGGGGGCAACCCUGGUCCAGCCAUGCCGCGUGAGUGAAGAAGGCCUUCGGGUUGUAAAGCUCUUUCGGACGGGACGAAAUGGUUACGGUGAAUAGCUGUGACUGAUGACGGUACCGUAAUAAGAA